CCAGGCCAGCCCCAGGCCUGCCUGGCCAGACCCGCCAGACCCGGUGGCCGCACCCACUCCACCACAGGGGCCCAGCCAAUGAGCCACCUCCCCUGUGCUUUUGAAAGGGGAUCCAGCCAGGAAUGGUUACAGGAGCUCUCUGAGCAGGCUGUGAAGGGCAGGGGCAGCUGGGCGGCCUGACUAUUUGGGGCUCUGCAGGCCGGGUUCCCUCCCUUCGCUGUUCUGUGCAGGGGCCCAGAGUCCAGCCCUGGGACUCAUGCCCGACCAGGACUCACGACCCAUCCCGGAGCGGAUCUACGACCUCAGAAUCGACUCCAAAGACAGGCUUCGGCAUCUUGCUCCCCACCCUUGAGAGCAGAAAGCACCAAAAUAGCAGCGUGAAUCACUCGGAAACUGUCAUGUAAUGCACGGGCCAGGACACCUUCUGCGGCACAGCUUCUGCUUGUGUUCCAGGAAUCUGGGGAAGGGGACACUGGCGGACUGCAUCACCGCCUCCCCGGCCCACUCGAGAGAGCUCUGAAUCUACAAAGAGAUUUGAAGAAGCCCAAGUCGGUAAAAAAUUGCGGCUUUCAAAAUUUUGUUUUGGGUCUGACAAUACUUGAGUGUGGAUUAUUUUGUCCUGUCCUCAGAAUAACCUUGGGAAGUCCUUGGAACUUCAUCAUCUCCAUUUACAGGCAAGGACACUAGAGCAUAGAAAAAGCCUUCUUUGGGUUCCUUGAAAAUUUCAAACUUGUUUUAACCUCAGGGCCUUUGCACCUUCUGUUGUCCUGUCUGGAACUCUGUUCCUGGCUGGCUUCUCAUCACUCCAGGUCCAAGGGGCCUUCACUACUAACCACCUGCCUCUAGGAGCUCCUUCCUUCCCUGCUUCCCUGGUUACUCUCUAUCCCUUAUCUUUUGAUAUUUUUAUAGGACUCAUCACUCUUUAGUUAUCUUCAUUUCUAUAUUUGUUCUUAACAAACGCAUAUAGUGCUUGCUCUUUAGGCAGGCAACGUUCUAAGUGCUUUACAAAUAUCAAACAAUUUGGGCGCCUGGGUAGCUCAGUGGGUUGGGCAUCGGGCUCUUGAUUUCG